rnacentral:lncRNA from 1 species
GUCGUUCGUCCGUCUGUCCCGCUUCAGGUUAAAGUUUUUGGUCAAGGUAGUUUUUGAUGAAGUUGAAGUCCAAUCAACUUGAAACUUAGUACACAUGUUCCUUAUGAUAUGAUCUUUCUAAUUUUAAAACCAAAUUAAACUUUUGACCCCAAUUUCACGGUCCACUGAACAUAGAAAAUGAAAGUGCAUCUUUCAGGUUAAAGUU